rnacentral:rRNA from 1 species
GACGAACGCUGGCGGCGUGCUUUACACAUGCAAGUCGAACGGAGACCCACCUUCGGGUGGCAAUCAGUGGCGAACGGGUGAGUAACACGUGGGCAACCUGCCCCUCACAUCGGGAUAACUCCGGGAAACCGGAGCUAAUACCGGAUAUCACCUCGGAGGGCAUCCUCUGAGGUUGAAAGGGUUUCUGGUGAGGGAUGGGCCCGCGGCCUAUCAGCUUGUUGGUGGGGUAAUGGCCUACCAAGGCGACGACGGGUAGCCGGCCUGAGAGGGCGACCGGCCACACUGGGACUGAGACACGGCCCAGACUCCUACGGGAGGCAGCAGUGGGAAUAUUGCGCAAUGGGCGAAAGCCUGACGCAGCAACGCCGCGUGAGGGAACGAAGGCCUUCGGGUCGUAAACCUCUUUCAGCAGGGACGAAGCGAAAGUGACGGUACCUGCAGAAGAAGUACCGGCUAAC